rnacentral:miRNA from 1 species
UCCCUGAGAAUGCUCUGACUGCU